GGGGGCGUGGCGGAAUGGUAGACGCUGCGGACUUAAAAUCCGUUGAGAUUAAUCCCUCGUGUGGGUUCAAGUCCCACCGCCCCCA
rnacentral:tRNA from 1 species